rnacentral:rRNA from 1 species
GAUCCUGGCUCAGGACGAACGCUGGCGGCGUGCCUAACACAUGCAAGUCGAACGGAGAUAUGUUUUUGGAAGGGCUUCGGUCUGGAAGAGAUAUAUUUUAGUGGCGGACGGGUGAGUAACGCGUGGGCAAUCUGCCUUGUAGAAAGGGAUAACAGGCCGAAAGGCUUGCUAAUACCGGAUGAGCUUGUCUAAUCGCAUGAUAAGACAAGGAAAGGGGAAACCCGCUACAAGAUGAGCCUGCGUCCCA